rnacentral:rRNA from 1 species
UACGGAGGAUCCAAGCGUUAUCCGGAAUCAUUGGGCGUAAAGAGCUCGUAGGCGGUCUGUCGCGUCAGCUGUGAAAACCUAGGGCUCAACCUGGGCCUGCAGCCGAUACGGGCAGACUAGAAUUCGGUAGGGGAGACUGGAAUUCCUGGUGUAGCGGUGAAAUGCGCAGAUAUCAGGAGGAACACCGGUGGCGAAGGCGGGUCUCUGGGGCCGAUAUUGACGCUGAGGAGCGAAAGCGUGGGGAGCGAACAGG